GAAGAUCUCACUCCUUACAUGGACAAAUCCGAUAUGAUGGACAUGUAUAGAAGUGAGAAAGAAAAAUCGCCCUAAGUAUGGACAUGCCAUAAGGUGCAAACUUCCUCAAUCAAGGAAACAACUCAAAUCAUUGAUUGGGAAGAAAUCUUUUGGAUUUCCUUCCGAAGAAAAGAAGUAUAUGCAGCAGAAGACUAUAAAGGCUAAAACAGAAGAAAGAAGGCACAACUCAACUUCAAGGAGA
rnacentral:lncRNA from 1 species